UAAACAAAAUCAGCCCCAAUCAAAUCUUAAGACGGCUGGCAUCCAUUUCUUUCGUGUAGUCAAAUCAUUCUCCAGCCAUCUGACGAUAGCACUUCCCCAAGAAAGAUAAUAUCUUUUGCUAUCUGUUUUGAAUUCAUCCAUUCCAUUCUCUCCUUCAGUCCGAUUUUCUUGGUUCUCUCCUUUUUCAGUCAAACACAUACCGAUCCAGAUCUGCUCCUAUCAGGUAAAUACUCUCAUCUCUAUCAAUGGCUCUUCUAGCCAACUUAUGCGCGUUCGAAUUUUCUGAUCUAUGAAUAUGUUGAAAAUUAAGAUCUUGAAAACAUGAUUUCUUGCUGUGAAUAUCACUAAUAAUUGCCCCAAUCACUGAUUUAUCUAUUGAAAUUUUCUGACAUUUGUUGAUGACUGUCUUGGAGUCCCCCGUGAUUUUUAUUGAUGGCAUUCGAAGAGCGAUUCCUAAUUUCAUACUUUCCAAACAAGCGUACGCCUCUGCUGCAAACGCGGAGGAAACCUUCUUAUGUAUCACCGUCUUUAGCAUCAAUAAAUCUCCAUUUUGGUCCCACCCUACCAGCCCUGAUGCUGACUUGAAGCUUCGCUUGUCAAAAGCUGCAUCAAACUGGAUCGCUGCUUUUGACCCAGAUCGUCCAUAAAGCAUAACAAAACAGUCGACAUUGAGCAUCAUUUCCUUUCUGGAAAACCCAGGACAGUCUCGGAACACAUGGAUACUUUCUUCAGGCCAGGAUCGACAUCGGGGGCAUUCCUCAUUAGCAAUAACUUUCCUGCAUCUGAGAUUAACAAAAUUAGGGAUAUAAUCCCAAGAUAUUCUCCAAAUAGUCAUUGUAAUUUUUGGGGGAAGUUGUAAUCCCCAUAAUUUCCUGUAAAAGUUCUUAGAUUCGGUCUGUAACAAGUAAUCAGUAGGAUUAAGAGUAGCCUCUUGUAAUAGUUUAUACGCGCUACGAACAGAAAAUUCCCCGGAUAAUUCUCCCCUCCAAACUUGGAUGUCAUCAUGCUCAGUCUCGGCUAACGGCAUCUAUAAUAUUUUCUGGGCUGUUUCGACUUGAAAGCUCUAUCAAUUCCUAGAAUCCAAUUAUCCUCCCAAAUAGAGAUUUUGUCUCCCCUGCCUACUCUCCAGCACAGUCCUUGUUUGAGUAAACCUUUUGCUGCCCAAAUGCUCCGCCAGGUGAGUGAAGGUAAAUUUCCCAGCUCUGCCUUAAGAAAACAUGAUCGUGGAUAAUAUUUAGCUUUCAUAACUUUGGCUAAUAACGAAUUUGGAAAAUUAAGAAGUCGCCAACCUUGUUUUGCCAAUAACGGUACAUUAAAUUGAGCAAGAUUUCUAAAACCUAAUCCACCGUUUUCUUUUAAGGAACAAAUAUUUUUCCACGUACAGCAAUGGAUACCCUUUUUUCCAUGUCCUUUCUGCCACCAGAACUUGGCUAUAAUACUCUCCAUAUCUUCACAAAGUGCUUUGGGUAAUAAGAAACAUGCCAUCGAGUAAGUCGGAAUAGCCUGAAGGACAACCUUGAUAAAAAAUUCCUUCCCUCCCUGCGAUAAUAGCCUUAAGCUCCAAUGAUCAAUACAUUUUUUGAGUUUGUCUUUCAAAUUCUGAAAUGAUGCUUUUUUCUUUCGACCCACCAUUAUAGGCAGCCCUAGGUACCGUUCUGGUUCAUUAGAGCUUCGUACCCCCAAGAUAUUAACAACUUGUCUCUUCUCUUCCUCCUUCGUAUUCUUACUGAUUUUUCAAAAUUUACCCACUGCCCUGAGCAUGACUUGUAUUCGCGUAGAAUAUUCUUGAAAAAGUUGGCUCCCCUAUCUGUUGCUUCACCAAACAAAAUGCAAUCAUCAGCAAAAAAUAAGUGAGAUAUCUGCGGACCAUUUCUGCUGAUCCUUACUCCCUUUAAAACACCUUUGGAUGUUGCUAAUCUCAGCAGGCUUGACAGCCCUUCGCCACAUAAAAGGAACAAAAACGGGCUAAGUGGGUCCCCUUGCCUGAUUCCUCUAGUUGGGCAGAAUUUUUCUCCAAUAUAUCCGUUAAUAAUAACUGAGUAAGAAACUGAAGUAACACACUGCAUAAUAAGAUUUACCCAUCUUUGGUCAAACCUCAUCUGUAGCAUAAUCCUGUUCAAGAAACCCCACUCCACUCUGUCAAAAGCUUUACUCAUAUCAAGCUUAACAGCCAUAUACCCUUUCUUCCCCAAUCUCUUUUGCUUUAACUUGUGCAUUAUUUCAUAAGCAAGUAGCACAUUAUCUGAGAUCAGCCGUCCUGGCACAAAAGCACUUUGCGCCUCAUCAACACAUUUUCCAAUAACUCCACUCAGUCGAUUUGCAAUAACCUUUGCAAUGAUUUUAUAGAGAACAUUACAUAGGCUAAUUGGCCUGAAUUGGGACAUCUGAGAUGGGCUAGGAAUUUUUGGGAUAAGGACUAUAUUUGUAGAAUUGACUGGACUUACCUCCCUAACGCCAUUUAAGAUCUGUAAGCAAAAAGUGGUUAUAUCAUCCCCAAAAAUUUUCCAACACUUUUGAUAAAAGAGGGCUGGGAUUCCAUCUUCUCCUGGUGCCUUCGUUGGUCCCAUGGCAAAAACUGCAUUCAUAACUUCCUCUUUGGUGUAAACUGCUGUCAACAUUUGAUUAUCUUCCUCAUAAAUGUGGUCGCACUCCCCCAUUCCUUCUGUUGAAAACAGCUUAUUAAAAUAUGACCGUGCUAUACCUUCCAUGUCGUGCAAUUCCCCUAUUUCUCUACCAUCUUCAUUUUGUAGUCCACGAAUGAGAUUCUUGCUCCUUUGUGAUGCUCGACCAUGAAAAAAAGAUGUGUUCCUGUCCCCAUACCUUAUCCAAUCGAUUCGGGCCCUUUGUUCCCAGUAGCAUUCUUCUUUUUCAAGCUCAAAAUUUAAAUUAAUUUUUGUAUCAAUCAGUUCCUCCAAAGUCUUAUCAUCUCUUUCCUCCUCAGCCAGCUCCGUUAGUUUUCUCAUGAGAAUUUGCUUUGCCUUCUCUAUUUUGGAUUUUCUUAGCCCACCUUUGUAGUCCAUUUUUCAAAAAGUCCAGUUUCUGAAUCAGCUCUCCUGAUGCGUUCUCCCACAAAUUCCUUACUUCAUCUUCAAAAGACUCUUCAAGGGACCACCACGCUUCAAACUUAAAACUGUAGCUCAUUCUUUCAUCAUACCUCCUUGUGUUCAUAAGGAGUGGACAAUGAUCUGACAUCGAAUGCACUAAAUGUUGAACUCUUACUGCUUGGAACCAGUUAAUCCAUGCCGCGUUUGCAACUCCUCUAUCUAAUCUUUCUCGUAUGUUAGUCUCCGGCAAAUUUCUUCUUUCCCAAGUAAACCAGCUACCUUCAUAGCCCACAUCGUACAAUUGACAUUCCUCGAGCACUCUUCGGAACAAUUCCAUUCUCCUCUCAUCUCUAGGCAAUCCUCCUUUCUUCUCGGCUGCAUACAUGAUUUCAUUGAAGUCACCCAUAACAAACCAUGGAAGAUCCAUAUUAGUAGCUAGGUUUUUCAAUACGGCCCAUGAUUCGCUCCGAUCCUGUGUAUAAGGGGAUACAUAGAAGCCUGUAAAUCAAAAUUGGCGACAAAAACAUAAAAACGAAUAAAGAAAAAAAAAUCGUGCCAGGCGGCGGCAGACCUAAAACGUGCUAGGGUAGCAGACCAUUAUGGUUGUAAAUUAUUUUGAUGCUAAGAUAUGUGUAAUUAUCAAAAUAAUGGAGUCUUAUGAAUAUAUUUUUAAAAAUAAAGAAUUAUCAUUUAUUUUUA